AGUGGGGAAUAUUGCACAAUGGACGGAAGUCUGAUGCAGCAACGCCGCGUGCGGGAUGAAGGCCUUCGGGUUGUAAACCGCUUUCGAUCACGACGAAUGUGACGGUAGUGAUUAAAGAAGCACCGGCUAACUACGUGCCAGCAGCCGCGGUGAUACGUAGGGUGCGAGCGUUGUCCGGAUUUAUUGGGCGUAAAGAGCUCGUAGGUGGUUUGUUGCGUCGGGAGUGAAAACACACGGCUUAACUGUGUGCUUGCUUUCGAUACGGGCAGACUUGAGGAAGGUAGGGGAGAACGGAAUUCCUGGUGGAGCGGUGGAAUGCGCAGAUAUCAGGAGGAACACCGGUGGCGAAGGCGGUUCUCUGGACCUUUCCUGACGCUGAGGAGCGAAAGCGUGGGGAGCAAACAGGCUUAGAUACCCUGGUAGUCCACGCCGUAAACGGUGGGCACUAGGUGUGGGAUCCAUUCCACGGGUUCCGUGCCGUAGCUAACGCAUUAAGUGCCCCGCCUGGGGAGUACGGCCGCAAGGCUAAAACUCAAAGGAAUUGACGGGGGCCCGCACAAGCGGCGGAGCAUGCGGAUUAAUUCGAUGCAACGCGAAGAACCUUACCUGGGUUUGACAUGCACCAGAAGCGCUCAGAGAUGGGUGUGCCCUUUGUGGUUGGUGUGCAGGUGGUGCAUGGCUGUCGUCAGCUCGUGUCGUGAGAUGUUGGGUUAAGUCCCGCAACGAGCGCAACCCUCGUCCUAUGUUGCCAGCGGUUCGGCCGGGAACUCAUGGGAGACUGCCGGGGUCAACUCGGAGGAAGGUGGGGAUGAGGUCAAGUCAUCAUGCCCCUUAUGUCCAGGGCUUCACGCAUGCUACAAUGGCUGGUACAAAGUGUUGCGAUCCUGUGAGGGUGAGCGAAUCACGUAAAGCCAGUCUCAGUUCGGAUUGGGGUCUGCAACUCGACCCCAUGAAGUCGGAGUCGCUAGUAAUCGCAGAUCAGCAUUGCUGCGGUGAAUACGUUCCCGGGCCUUGUACACACCGCCCGUCAAGUCAUGAAAGUCGGUAACACCCGAAGCCGGUGGCCUAACCCGUUUGGGGGGGAGCUGUCGAAGGUGGGAUCGGUAAUUAGGACU
rnacentral:rRNA from 1 species